rfam:Hordeum vulgare subsp. vulgare, WGS project CAJW01000000 data, contig: morex_contig_42653
CAUCUAUUCCUUUCGUCUGGAAAUACUUAUCAUAGAAAUGAAUGUAUUUAGAUGUAUUUUAAUUUUAGAUACAUUCAUUUUUAUAUAUUUGUGUGACAAAUAAUUCUGGACGGAGGAAGUAUUUA